GAUGAACGCUGGCGGCGUGCCUAAUACAUGCAAGUCGAGCGAAUGGAUUAAGAGCUUGCUCUUAUGAAGUUAGCGGCGGACGGGUGAGUAACACGUGGGUAACCUGCCCAUAAGACUGGGAUAACUCCGGGAAACCGGGGCUAAUACCGGAUAACAUUUUGAACCGCAUGGUUCGAAAUUGAAAGGCGGCUUCGGCUGUCACUUAUGGAUGGACCCGCGUCGCAUUAGCUAGUUGGUGAGGUAACGGCUCACCAAGGCAACGAUGCGUAGCCGACCUGAGAGGGUGGUCGGCCACGCUGGGACUGAGACACGGCCCAGACUCCUACGGGAGGCAGCAGUAGGGAAUCUUCCGCAAUGGACGAAAGUCUGACGGAGCAACGCCGCGUGAGUGAUGAAGGCUUUCGGGUCGUAAAACUCUGUUGUUAGGGAAGAACAAGUGCUAGUUGAAUAAGCUGGCACCUUGGCGGUACCUAACCAGAAAGCCACGGCUAACUACGUGCCAGCAGCCGCCGUAA
rnacentral:rRNA from 1 species